AGUAAGCUUCAUUUUUUUUUUCAUCUGUAAAUUGGAGAAUAUGGUGUUUACUUCAUAUGGCUAUUGUAAGCAAUAAAAAAAAAAGGUAUUUUAAACACCUAGCAUAGCAGGUGUUAGUGCUAAAUUAUAUAUUACUUUCUCCUGAUAAAGUAACCUUUUAAAAAGUAAAGAGCUUAUUUAUAUAGAGCUAGUUUCCAGUCUCUUGUUUUAGAGACUUAAAAAACAGUACUGGACUGCUGUUGUUGUUUCACUGUGGCAAAGAAUAGAAGAAUGAACUUUAUUUCAUCAUAUAUUUGAUGGUUCCCAAAUCAUUCCUUGCUUCUUAUAGCCAGCAGAAACCUACAGUUGGAUUUUGGUGAGUCUAAGUUUGUAGUAAGUGAGAUUGUUUUUAGUGAGCUGUCAGUGGGGGUUGAUGAAAGGCAGAAGACCAUGGUCGUUUAUAAUGAGUUUGUGUGAAAAUCCAAUGAAGUGGUCAGUGAAAAUUCUACCUCGAGAUAAACUGUGCAGACUGGCUCUAACAGUAGAUUAUUUUCUUCUAAUUAUAAGUUUGCUAUAGCUUCUUUUAUUUUUGUUUCUGUUUUUGUUUGAAACCAGAAAGUCCUUUGCUGUUUCCUUAUUAUCCUCGAAAAUCAUUGCAUUUUGUGAAAAGGCGGAUGGAGAAUAUUAUUGAUCAGUGUUUGCAAAAGCCAGCAGUAAGUUUGAAAGAAAUGCAUGUCUUUGUGUAGGAGCAAUAGUGUCUACAGUAUGUGGCUCACUUAUGUAAAUGAUCUUAAUUUUUAGAAUGAACUAUGAAAAUGUUGAUAUUCAACUGUUUUUGAUUAACAAAAGUAACAAUUUCAUAUGGUUCAACCUAAUACUCCAACUUAAGUUUCUUACACACGUGUGUGUGUGUGUGUGUGUGUAUAAAGAUUACUAAAGGUGUUGGCAUCUUGAGUAUUUUAUUUGUUCCCAGAAGAAAUUCAUUGUAAACAGUCUUAGUUACAGAGCUGAUGUGUCUCUGUUUACUACUGAAGGAUGUGAAUGAAUGGUUGUUAUGAGACCAGAGGGAGGUGGUCUUAAACCUGCCAUGUGCUUAGCACCAAGGUCCUUUUCAGCUCAGAAUUUUCUCUUUUUCCUUACUGUUACAAUUGUCAUUAAAGUUUCUUAUGUACAAGGUUUGGUGAUGUAGGCGAUUUUUUUACUACAUUCGAACAGUGAUGGUCAGUCACUUUCUGUAGAGUAUCUGUGUGCAUAUUAAUGCUCUAAUUAUAUUUUAAAAUCUUAUUUUAUAUAGGAUGUAAUUGGAAAAUCGAUGAAUCAAGCAAUCUGUAUUCCAUUGUAUAGAGAUACCAGAAGGUAAUUCUGUUUACCUAUUGGGUGGUGUAAUUCCGCAGCCAAUUUAAAUUUUUCUCAUUUCUUUUUCCCUUUUAUUUUAGUGAGGAUUCUACACGUAGAUUGUUCAAAUUUCCUUUUCUGUGGAAUAAUAAAACUUCAAAUCUACAUUAUCUUCUUUUUACUAUUCUAGAAGAUUCACUUUAUAAAAUGUGCAUCUUAAGGAGACAUACUGAUAUUUCUCAAUCUGUGAGUAAUGGACUAAUUGCUAUUAAAUUUGGGAGCUUUACAUAUGCCACAACAGAAAAAGUCAGAAGAAGCAUCUACAGUUGUUUAGAUGCACAGUUUUAUGAUGAUGAAACUGUAACAGUAGUUCUUAAAGACACUGUAGGACGUGAAGGAAGAGAUAGACUCUUGGUCCAGCUGCCUUUGUCUUUAGUAUAUAACAGUGAAGAUUCUGCAGAAUAUCAGUUCACUGGGACUUAUUCUACAAGGCUAGAUGAACAGUGUAGUGCUAUUCCCACCCGUACCAUGCAUUUUGAGAAGCACUGGAGAUUACUGGAAAGUAUGAAAGCACAGUAUGUUGCUGGGAAUGGUUUUCGAAAAGUGUCCUGUGUGUUAAGCUCAAAUCUUCGUCAUGUGAGAGUAUUUGAAAUGGACAUAGAUGAUGAAUGGGAGCUCGAUGAGUCUUCAGAUGAAGAGGAGGAGGCCAGUAAUAAGCCUGU
rnacentral:sRNA from 1 species